AAUCAACGCUGGCGGCGUGCCUCAGACAUGCAAGUCGAACGAGAAAGUUUCCUUCGGGGAAUGAGUAAAGUGGCGCACGGGUGAGUAACACGUAGGUAAUCUACCUUCGGGUGGGGAAGUAACCCAGGGAAACUUGGGCUAACACCGCAUAAUGCAGCGGCACCACAUGGUGACAGUUGUUAAAGCGGGGAGUUUUAGGACCUCGCGCCUGAAGAGGAGCCUGCGGCGAUUAGCAGUUGGUAAGGUAACGGCUUACCAAGGCGACGAUCCGUAACCGGCCUGAGAGGGCGGGUCGGUCACACUGACACUGACAUACGGGUCA
rnacentral:rRNA from 1 species